rnacentral:tRNA from 1 species
GCAUCGAUGAGCCGGCCUGGUGGUUGGGCGUGACUUCAAAUCACGUGGCGCCUAGCGGCGCAGGGGUUCGAUUCCUCCUUCGGUGCG